UCAGCCUCUUGAGACACAUUGCCUGUAAAC
rnacentral:piRNA from 1 species